AAGGAUACAUGUCAGUUUCUCAUUCUCAUUUUUCAUAGUUUUUGUAAGCUUUUCUUUUUUUGAUUAAUAAUUUCUAAGACUGCUUCCUCAAACAUUCUCCAGUUAAUCUCAGCACUGCGCAAUGUGCGGGUUACGCGUUAGCUACACGUGUGGUUCGUCAGAGAAGGACAAAUUCUGCAGAUAUCGGACGGAAUCAUAAAGCAAGAACUUCAAAUAUCUCUUUCUAAGCUUUAAAAAAAAAAAAAUAAAAAUCAGUUGUAAAAAUCUGACGAACCCUUGUUGGGAAGUUUGUUACUCCAUACUGGUUGAUUCAGAAAUGUGUUUUCUAACAAGAUGUAAAAAAAAAAAAAAAAAAAUGUAUUCAGCUGUAACGUUAAGACACGUGUUUCCGGUGUUUCCCAGUAUGCCUUCAGCCUUGUCCGUGUAUUUUUCUCUUUUAAAAUUCUGUCAGUGCCGGUGGUGCCAUGUGACGGCCAGCAGGGGGCGCUGGACUCUGGCGCACAGUCAGCAGGCAGACCUCUGAUUGCUUCCAGUUGUGGGACCCGCCAGGAUCGGAAUCACCUGGGGCACCGGAUGGCGUCGGGGGGCUUGCGC
rnacentral:lncRNA from 1 species